UACGUAGGUGGCUAGCGUUGUCCGGAAUCAUUGGGCGUAAAGAGCGCGUAGGCGGCCCGGUAAGUCCGCUGUAAAAGUCCAGGGCUCAACCCUGGAAAGCCGGUGGAUACUGUCGGGCUCGAGUCCGGAAGAGGCGAGUGGAAUUCCUGGUGUAGCGGUGGAAUGCGCAGAUAUCAGGAAGAACACCAAUGGCGAAAGCAGCUCUCUGGGACGGUACUGACGCUGAGGAGCGAAAGCGUGGGGAGCGAACAGG
rnacentral:rRNA from 1 species